rnacentral:rRNA from 1 species
CAGCAGCCACGGGAAUACGAAGGGGGCUAGCGUUGCUCGGAAUGACUGGGCGUAAAGGGCGCGUAGGCGGCACACACAGUCAGGCGUGAAAUCCCUGGGCUUAACCUGGGGGCUGCGUUUGAUACAUGUGAGCUAGAGGAUGGAAGAGGCUCGUGGAAUUCCCAGUGUAGCGGUGAAAUGCGUAGAUAUUCGGAAGAACACCAGUGGCGAAGGCGGCUCACUGGACUGGUAUUGACGCUGAGGUGCGAAAGCGUGGGGAGCAAACAGGAUUAGAUACCCCAGUAGUCCCUGUCUCUUAUAA